UAGCAAUGAUGACAAAAGGCCGGUCUUACAGCUGCUUUGGGUUCAUCCCAUGGUAGUAGGAUGAUGUUGAUAAUCGUAAGGUGUUUCUGAGCCAG
rnacentral:snoRNA from 1 species